rnacentral:rRNA from 1 species
GAUGAACGCUGGCGGCGUGCUUAACACAUGCAAGUCGAACGAAGCACUUUAUUUGAUUUCCUUCGGGACUGAUUAUUUUGUGACUGAGUGGCGGACGGGUGAGUAACGCGUGGGUAACCUGCCUUGUACAGGGGGAUAACAGUUGGAAACGGCUGCUAAUACCGCAUAAGCGCACAGCAUCGCAUGAUGCAGUGUGAAAAACUCCGGUGGUAUAAGAUGGACCCGCGUUGGAUUAGCUAGUUGGUGAGGUAACGGCCCACCAAGGCGACGAUCCAUAGCCGACCAGUGAGAGUGACCGGCCACAUUGGGGCUGAGACACGGCCCAAACUCCUACGGGAGGCAGCAGUGGGGAAUAUUGCACAAUGGGCGAAAGGCUGAUGCAGCGACGCCGCGUGAGCGAAGAAGUAUUUCGGUAUGUAAAGCUCUAUCAGCAGGGAAGAUAAUGACGGUACCUGACUAAGAAGCACCGGCUAAAUACGUG